CCUACGGGAGGCAGCAGUGGGGAAUAUUGGACAAUGGGCGAAAGCCUGAUCCAGCAAUGCCGCGUGAGUGAAGAAGGCCUUCGGGUUGUAAAGCUCUUUUACCCGGGAAGAUAAUGACUGUACCGGGAGAAUAAGCCCCGGCUAACUCCGUGCCAGCAGCCGCGGUAAUACGGAGGGGGCUAGCGUUGUUCGGAAUUACUGGGCGUAAAGCGUACGUAGGCGGCUUUGUAAGUCAGAGGUGAAAGCCCACGACUCAAUCGUGGAACUGCCUUUGAGACUGCUUCGCUUGAAGAUGGGAGAGGUUAGUGGAAUUCCGAGUGUAGAGGUGAAAUUCGUAGAUAUUCGGAAGAACACCAGUGGCGAAGGCGGCUAACUGGACCAUUCUUGACGCUGAGGUACGAAAGCGUGGGGAGCAAACAGGAUUAGAUACCCUGGUAGUCCACGCCGUAAACGAUGAUAACUAGCUGUCGGGGCUCUUGGAGCUUCGGUGGCGCAGCUACGACAUUAAGUUAUUCCGUCCGUCGGGUAGGUACGGCCGGCCGAACGGUUAAAACGUUAACGAAAGGAAAGUAACGGUACGUGAGACGUGUCCGAACGGACGACGACGAGGGGAGGUUAGG
rnacentral:rRNA from 1 species